ensembl:lncRNA
GUGAUAUUUUAGGCUUUAUAUACAGAUUUUUACCUUGCCAUUAAGAAACACAUUUUAUAAUAUUGUGUGAGAUAGGAAAGUUGUUUUAAAAAACAAAACGAAACAAAAAAACCCUAAGUGGGUAUGGACAGCAGGUUUGCAUUUGUUGAAUUGGAGAGGAACACUAAUGUUGCAGAUACACAACUGUGAAACUGAUCUUAUUUAUCUUGACAGAUUUCCCUGACUGCUAGCUCUGGAAUAACAACAUUUUUUGUGGAACCCAGGUUUUCUCUUUCUGUAGCUGAUGAUCGUGAUGCCACAGUUAAUUAGUUAUUCCUUCCUUAAUUCUUUUCACAGACACAAAAUAUCUCCGUAUCUCACCUCCUGUAGUAGAAAAGGAUGCAACUUACAUGAGGAAAAAUGUUCCUGUGAUUUUGGGUAUCAACAAAAACCCUCCCCGUGAACCUCUGAGUUUGGUGAAAAGAGAAAAUUUCCAUGGAAAUAAAUAAGAGGCAUUAUUUUUGGAGCU